UGAAACUUUUGCUGUGACACCAUCAUUUAUCGAGGGAGAGCAAAGGACUAAACCAUCUGCUCAUGAUCUCUUAUUGAUUUUAUGCAGCGAUGUUCUUAUUUAUACAUCAGCGACAACCCUCCAGAGAAAAAGCAAGA
rnacentral:lncRNA from 1 species